rnacentral:tRNA from 1 species
GGGUGUGUAGCUCAGUGGUAGAGCGGCUGACUGCAGAUCAGCAGGUUCUCGGUUCA